rnacentral:rRNA from 1 species
UUGAUCGAAGCCCCAGUAAACGGCGGCCGUAACUAUAACGGUCCUAAGGUAGCGAAAUUCCUUGUCGGGUAAGUUCCGACCUGCACGAAUGGCAUAAUGAUGGGGGCGCUGUCUCCAGCAGAGGCUCAGUGAAAUCGAAAUCGCCGUGAAGAUGCGGUGUACCCGCGGCUAGACGGAAAGACCCCGUGAACCUUUACUGCAGCUUGACAUUGAACUUUGAUCUUACUUGUGUAGGAUAGGUGGGAGGCUUUGAAGUGGCGACGCUAGUUGCCAUGGAGCCGUCCUUGAAAUACCACCCUGGUAAUAUUGAGGUUCUAACUCUGUCCCGUUAUCCGGGACGAGGACCAUGUCUGGUGGGUAGUUUGACUGGGGCGGUCUCCUCCUAAAGAGUAACGGAGGAGUACGAAGGUGCGCUCAGCGUGGUCGGAAAUCACGCGUAGAGUAUAAAGGCAAAAGCGCGCUUAACUGCGAGACCCACAAGUCGAGCAGGUACGAAAGUAGGUCUUAGUGAUCCGGUGGUUCUGUAUGGAAGGGCCAUCGCUCAACGGAUAAAAGGUACUCUGGGGAUAACAGGCUGAUACCGCCCAAGAGUUCAUAUCGACGGCGGUGUUUGGCACCUCGAUGUCGGCUCAUCUCAUCCUGGGGCUGAAGCAGGUCCCAAGGGUAUGGCUGUUCGCCAUUUAAAGAGGUACGCGAGCUGGGUUUAGAACGUCGUGAGACAGUUCGGUCCCUAUCUACCGUGGGCGCUGGAAAUUUGAGAGGAUCUGCUCCUAGUACGAGAGGACCAGAGUGGACGAACCUCUGGUGUACCGGUUGUGACGCCAGUCGCAUCGCCGGGUAGCUAUGUUCGGAAGGGAUAACCGCUGAAAGCAUCUAAGCGGGAAGCCUACCUCAAGAUAAGAUUUCCCUGUGACUUUAUGUCACCUAAAGAGCCGUUGAAGACUACGACGUUGAUAGGUUGGAUGUGGAAG